rnacentral:lncRNA from 1 species
GUGGAAGAGCUAACUUGCUGAGUCUUCCGGCAUUCGUCUUUCUUCCCUGCUGGAUGCUUCCUACCCGCGAACAUCAGACUCCAAGUUCUUCGGCCUUUGGACUCUCUUUUUUUGUUUUUUAAGAGACGGAGUCUAGCUCUGUCGCCCAAGCUGGAGUGCAGUGGCGUAAUCUCGGCUCACUGCACCUUCCGCCUCCUGGGUUAAAGCGAUUCUCCUGCCUCAGCCUCCCUAGUAGCUGGGACUACAGGCGCGCGCCGUCACGCCCGGCUAAUUUUUUGUAUUUUAGUAGAGACGGGGUUUCACCGUGUUGUCCAGCCUGGUCUCAAACUCCUGAGCUCAGGCAAUCCACCUGCCUCGGCCUCCUAAAAUGCUAGGAUAACAGGCGUGCGCCUCCGCGCCCGGCCUGCCUUUGGACUCUUGAACUUAGACCAGUUGUUUGCUGGGGCUCUUGGGCCUUUGGCCACAGACUGAAGGCUGCACUGUUGGCUUCCCUACUUUUGAGGUUUUGGGACUUGGACUGAACCAGUACUGGCUUCGUUGCUCCUCAACUUGCAGAUGGACUCUCAUGGGACUUCAUCUUGUGAUCGUGAAGGGGGCAUGAUCGAAUCUUCUGCUUUCCUUUUGAGCAUUUUCUCUGUGAGCCAAACUGACUGUUAUCCCUGCCACCAGGUAUAUUAAUGCUGUAAGGAAUUGUGCAGGAGGUCAAAAACCUGGAGGAUGCCUUACUUGGCCUGAUGUCAAGCCCUGAAAACAGCUGGCUGUCUGGUUGGAUCAGUCCCCCGUGGCAAACUCAGGACUCUGCGUUCCCAGUACUGGCUCACAGAAUCUGGUUGAAUCACCAAAAUGUGAAGACAAGCCUUCAGUUCCCUUCUUGACCACCAGCAUGGAACUAAACAAUUAAACCUGUCAGAAAAAAAAAAGCUGCUGUAUUUUAAGGUAACAGAGACAUGGACUUUUUAAGGUAACAGAGACAUGGACUUGAGAAGACAACUUGGCUCAAUUCCUAGCUCUGCAACUUACUUACUAGGUUUGUGUCUUUGGACUGCAUCCUAACAAACAACUGUGUCAAGACAUUUGAACAGCAUAUUCUACACAAAUAAAAAGGAAAUGAUAAAGAUAAAAGAAAUUAAUAGAAUGGAAAGUGAUGGAGAUAAACAAGUGAAAAGAUGGUCCUUUGAAAAGACUAAAACAUGGCCAAUGCACUGGCAAGAAUGAUUGGGACAAUAAACAAAAUAUAUAUGCCAGGGCAGCUCCCGGCGAGAUCGACGCAAAAGGUGGGUGAUUUCUGCAUUUCCAACUGGGGUACUCAGUUCACCUCAUUGGGACUGGUUGGACAGUGGGUGUAGCCCAGGGAGGGUGAGCCAAAGCAGGGUGGGGCAUUGUCUCACCCCAGAAGCACAAGGGGUCGGGGGAUUUCCCGUUCCUAGCCAAGGGAAGCCGUGAGACACUGUACCGGGAGAAACUGCACUCUGGCCCAGAUACUGCACUUUUCCCAUGGUCUUCGAAACCAGCAGACCAGGAGACUCCCUCCCGUGCCUGGCUCAAUGGGUCCCACCCUCACAGAGCCCAGCAAGCUAAGAUCCACUGGCUUGAAAUUCUUGCUGCUAGCACAGCAGUCUGAGAUCCACCUGGGACUCUCCAGCUUGCUGGCGGGGGAAGGGUCGUCGCCAUUGCUGAGGCUUGAGUAGGCAGUUUUCCCCUCACAGUGUAAACAAGGCAUCCUGGAAGUUCAAAGUGGAUGGAGCCCACUGCAGCUCAGCAAGGCUGCUGCAGGGGCAUCUCUGAAAAGAAGGCAGCAGCCCCAGUCAGGGGCUUAUAGAUAAAACCCUCAUCUCCCUGGGACAGAGCACCUGGGGGAAGGGGUGGCUGUGGGCGCAGCUUCAGCAGACUUAAACGUCUCUGCCUGGCAGCUCUUAAGAGAGCAGUGGAUCUCCCAGCACAGUAUUUGAGCUCUGAUAAGGGACAGGCUGCCUCCUCAACUGGGUCCCUGACCCCCAUGUAUCCUGACUGGGAGACAUCUCCCAGUAGGGGCUGACAGAUACCUCAUACAGGAGAGCUCUUGCUGACAUCUGGUGGGUGCCCCUCUGGGAUGAAGCCUCCAGAGGAAGGAACAGGCAGCAAUCUUUGCUGUUCUGCAGCCUCUGCUGGUGAUACCCAGGCAAACAGGGUCUGGAGUAGACCUCCAGCAAACCCCAGCAGCUCUGCAGAAGAGGGGCCUGGCUGUUAGAAGGAAAACUAACAAACAGAAAGGGAUAGUAGCAACAUCAACAAAAAGGACGUCCACUCAGAGACCCCAUCCAAAGGUCACCAGCAUCAAAGACCAAAGGUAGAUAAAUCCACAAAGAUGGGGAAAAACCGCCGCAAAAAGGCUGAAAACUCCAAAAACCAGAACGUCUCUUCUCCAAAGGAUCAGAACUCCUUGGCAGCAAGGGAACAAAACUGGAUGGAGAAGGAGUUUGACGAAUUCACAGAAGUAGACUUCAGAAGGUGGGUAAUAACAAACUCCUCAAAGCUAAAGGAGCAUGUUCUAACCCAAUGCAAGGAAGCUAAGAACCUUGGAAAAAGGUUAGACGAAUUGCUAACUAGAAUAACCAGUUGAGAGAAGAACAUAAAUGACAUGAUGGAGCUGAAAAGCACAGCAAGAGAACUUCGUGAAGCAUACACAAGUAUCAAUAGCCAAAUCAAUCAAGUGGAAGAAAGGAUAUCAGAGAUUGAAGAUCAACUCAAUGAAAUAAAGCAAGAAGACAAUAUUAGAGAAAAAAGUGAAAAGAAACAAAGCCUCCAAGAAAUACGGGACUAUGUGAAAAAUCCAAAUCUACAUUUGAUUGGUGUACCUGAAAGUGAUGGGGAGAAUGGAACCAAGUUGGAAAACACUCUUCAGGAUAUUAUCCAGGAGAACAUCCCCAACCUAACAAGGCAGAUCAACAUUCAAAUUCAGGAAAUACUGAGAACACCACUAAGACAUUCCUUGAGAAGAGCAACCCCAAGACACAUAAUCAUCAGAUUCACCAAGGUUGAAAUUAAGGAAAAAAUGUUAAGGGCAGCCAGAGAGAAAGGUCGGGUUACCCACAAAGGGGGGCCCAUCAGACUAACAGCACAUCUCUCGGUAGAAACCCUAUUAGCCAGAAGAGAGUAGGGACCAAUAUUCAACAUUCUUAAAAGAAUUCUCAACCCAGAGUUUCGUAUCCAGCCAAACUAAGCUUCUUAAGUGAAGAAGAAAUAAAAUCCUUUACAGUCAAGCAAAUGCUGAGAGAUUUUGUCACCACCAGGCCUGCCUCACAAGAGCUCCUGAAGGAAGCACUAAACGUGGAAAGGAACAACUGGUACCAGCCACUGCAAAAACACACCAAAUUGUAAAGACCAUCGAUGCUAUGAAGGAACUGCAUCAACUAAUGGGCAAAAUAACCAGCUAGCAUCAUAAUGACAGGAUCAAAUUCACACAUAACAAUGUUAACCUUAAAUGUAAAUGGGCUAAAUGCCCCAGUUAAAAGACCCAUCAGUGUGCUGUAUUCAGGAGACCCAUCUUACGUGCAAAGACACACAUAAGCUCAAAAUAAAGAGAUGGAGGAAUAUUUACCAAGCAAAUGGAAAGCAAAAAAAGCAGGGGUUGCAAUCCUAGUCUCUGAUAAAACAGACUUUAAACAAACAAAGAUCAAAAGAGACAAAGAAGGCCAUUACAUAAUGGUAAAGGGAUCAAUGCAACAAGAAGAACUAACUAUCCUUAUAUACAGAAGUGCCCAGAUUCAUAAAGUAAGUUCUUAGAGACCUACAAAGAGAUUUAGACUCCCACACAAUAACAGUGGGAGACUUUAACACCUCACUGUCAACAUUAGACAGAUCAACGAGACAGAAAAUUAACAAGGAAGUCCAUAACUUGAAUUCAGCUCUGGACCAAGUGGACCUAAUAGACAUCUACAGAACUCUCCACCCGAAAUCAACAGAAUAUAUAUUCUUCUCAGCACUACAUCGCACUUAUUCUAAAAUUUACCAAAUAGUUGGAAGUAAAACACUCCUCAGCAAAUGCAAAAGAUGGAAAUCAUAACAAGCAGUCUCUCAGACCACAGUGUAAUCAAAUUACAACUCAGGAUUAAGAAACUCACUCAAAACCACACAACUACAUGGAAACUGAACAACCUGCUCCAGAAUGACUACUGGGUACAUAACGAAAUGAAGGCAGAAAUAAAGAUGUUGUUUGAAACCAAUGAGAACAAAGACACAACAUAACAGAAUCUCUGGGACACAUUUAAAGCAUAUGUAGAGGGAAAUUUAUAGCACUAAAUGCCCACAAGAAAAAGCAGGACAGAUCUAAAAUCGACCCCCUAUCAUCACAACUAAAAGAACUAGAGAAGCAAGAGCAAACACAUUCAAAAGCUAGCAGAAGACAAAAAAUAACUAAGAUUAGAGCAGAACUGAAGGAGAUAGAGACAGGAAAAAACCUUCAAAAAAAUCAAUGAAUCCAGGAGCUGGUUUUUUGAAAAGGUCAACAAAAUAGAUGGACCACCAGCAAGACUAAUAAAGAAGAAAAGAGAGAAGAAUCAAAUAGACGCAAUAAAAAAUGUAAAAGGGGAUAUCACCACCAAUCCCACAGAAAUACAAACUACCAUCAGAGAAUACUAUAAACACCUCUACACAAAUAAACUAGAAAAUCUAGAAGAAAUGGAUAAAUUCCUGGACAUGUACACUCUCCCAAGACGAAACCAGCAAGAAGUCAAAUCCCUGAGUAGACCAAUAAUAAAUUCUGAAAUUGAGGCAGUAAUUAAUGAGAUACCAUCUCAUGCCAGUUAGAAUGGUGAUCAUUGAAAAGUCAGGAAAGAACAGAUGCUGGAGAGGAUGUGGAGAAAUAGGAAUGCUUUUACACUGUUGGUGGGAGUGUAAAUUAGCAUAACACAUCAAAAUAUACAUAAAAUAAAAUGUAUUAUGGUCAAGUAGCUUUACGAGAAUUAAAGGUUGGAUUCAUAUUUAAGAAUAGAUCAGUGCCAUUUUGCACACCAUCAAAUAAAGGAUAAAAAAAAUCACAUGAUCAUUUCAACUGAUAUGGGGAAAGCAAUUGAUAAAAUACAAUGUCCAAACAUUACUUACCAAAAAGAAAAAAUAACCUCUUAGCGAACUAGAAAUUGGAGACAGCUUUCUUAAAUUUGUCAAGAUUUUCUACAAAAAAUAAAACUAUGUGAAACAUCAUUGAAUUUAAUCGCAAAAUGUUGAAAGGCUUCCCUCUAUGAUAAAGAAUAAAGGGAUGUACUCUAUAAUCACUUCUAUUCAUCAUUGAAUUGAAAGUUCCAAGAGUGCAAAAAUGUCAAAAAAAUGAACGAAAGUACGUGUGUUUUUAAGGAAGAAAUAAAACUGUAAUUCUCAUAUAUCAUUGUCUAUUCAGAAAAUUAAAAAUAACAGGAAGACUAAUCAAAUAAAUAAUGGUAUUGGCAAGUUUAAUACAAAAAUAUCCAUUGCAUUUCUAUAUCCUAGCAAAAUUGGAAAAUAAAAUGUUAAAAUGAUACCAUUUAUAAUAGUAUAAAGCACACAUAUCUUCCCAAAAUAAAACUGAAUCAAAAAACAUAUGUUAGAAUGUUUGUGGCAGUUUUAUUUGUGAUUGCCAAAAUGAGAAACAACCCAAUGUCUGUUAGUAAAUGGAUAAAUAAAUAUAGGACACAUCAUACAAUGAAAACCUAUAAUAGCAAUGGUUCUUAGACUUUUUAUCUAAGGACAGUUUUACACUCUAACAAAAAAUUGAAGACCUUAAAAUGCUUUUGUUUAUACGAGUUUUGUCUAUCGAUAUUUACAGUAUUAGCAACUGAAACUGAGAUGUUUUAAAUGUUCUGUCAAGAAUUGUGAAGUGUCUGAGAAUUUCCUGUGCUUGCAAGCUAACAAGUUAGCCUGCCAGAGUUUCAUGUAUGCUAGUAGAAGACACAAGAAUAUCAGGUCAAAGACAAAGGACAUUAUAACUUACAGCAAUAGCAGUACCCAGAGUAUCAGCAUUAUCUUGUGUCAGUUUUCCAAGCCCAAGUUCCCCAGGACAACAUGAUUAGGGCCAAGUGACAGCAGCACAUGCAAUGAGUAAUGUUACAGAAGAGAAACCCUGAGCUUAGGAGCCUGAUUAUUUUAUAAUGAGCAAUAAGCAUACCUUCUCUUUGUUCAGGAGGGAGACACUACCUCUCUUUUCCAAAGCUAUCCCUUAUAUAAACAUCCUUGAAAAAGCACUCCGGAACAAAGGCAGUGAGUGCUUCCAUUCUAGCAAAGACUUGGAACCAACCCAAAUGUCCAACGAUGAUAGACUGGAUUAAGAAAAUGUGGCACAUAUACACCAUGGAAUACUAUGCAGCCAUAAAAAAUGAUGAGUUCAUGUCCUUUGUAGGGACAUGGAUGAAACUGGAAAUCAUCAUUCUCAGUAAACUAUCGCCAAGGACAAAAAACCAAACAUCACAUGUUCUCACUCAUAGGUGGGAAUUGAACAAUGAGAACACAUGGACACAGGAAGGGGAACAUCACACUCUGGGGACUGUCGUGGGGUGGGGGGAGCGGGGAGGGAUAGCAUUAGGAGAUAUACCUAAUGCUAAAUGACGAGUUAAUGCGUGCAGCACACCAGCAUGGCACAUGUAUACAUAUGUAACUAACCUGCACAUUGUGCACAUGUACCCUAAAACUUAAAGUAUAAUAAUAAUAAAAUAAAAAAAAGAAAGUACAGAAACAGAAGAGAUUCAAAGAAUUAUCCUCUAGCCCACUCAUUCCAUGUUAAAAUAAAUAACAUUUUAUGAAAAAUGGCUAUUUUCCAAAACAAAAUAAAAUUAUUGGAGAGAGUGGCAUUGCUUUACAAGUUUACAAAUCUAUUCAAUGUCUGGUUUAGUGAAAGAAGUGUAUCUGCUUUUGCAUUCAUUCUGUUUUGAUAUCACAUGUUAUAUAGCGUUUGGAAACUUCUAUAUACUCACAAGAAAAUGAAAAGUCAAAUAACAUAUAUUGAUGAUGAUUGAUAGUUUUUUGAUGUUACUGACUCUCUGAAAGGGUCUCGGGAAUUCCCAAGGGUGCCCAGACUACACUUUGAGAACUGAUUCCAUGUAUCAGUACAAAUAAAACAGUGCAGAAACUAAUCGCAUGGAUGAACCUCAAAGGACCAAAUAUAUCAAAAACAAAAUUGAAUAUACUAUGUGAUUCCAUUUAUAUUAACUUCAGAAAGAUAAAAUUAAUUGUGAUAGGAGUCGGAAAGGUUAGCGAUUAGGAGGAGGUAUGGAUAGGGACAGUGCUGAGUUCCUGGCUACAUUUUGAUUCUUACUAGUGUUUUCAUAAAUGCACUGACUGCAUAAAUUGGAAAAAAUGUGUACAAGAAUGGUUUUAGCAGCAUUCUCUAUUAGAGUUAUGUGUUGUGUCCCACCAAAGGAUGUGAAGUCCUAACCCCCAGUAAUCAGAAUGUGACUUUAUUUGGUCAUGGGGUCAUUGCAGAUGUAGUUGGUUAAGAUGAGGUCAUACUGGAGUACACUAGGUUCUUAAUUCAAUAUGACUGCUAUUCUUACAGGGAAAGGGAAGUUUGGGCAGAAAUACAUAGGGAGAAUGUCAUGUGAUAACAAAGACAAAUAUUGGAAUUAUGCAGCUGCACACCAAGGAAUGCCAAAGAUUGCUGGCAAAUAAACAUAAGCUAGAAAGAGGAAAGGAAAGAUUCCCCUACAGGUUCCAGAGGGAGUAUUGCCCUGCAGACACCUUGAAUUUGGACUUCCAUCCUCCAGAACUGUGAGACAAUACAUUUCUAAUGUUUUAAGCCACUUGAUUUGUAGUACUUUGUUAUGGCAGCCCUCGGGAAAUAGUACAGCAAGUAACUGGGAGCAACCUAGAUGUCUGAAACAGAUGGAAAAUUAAAUAAAAUACUGCAAGAAAAUUUUUAAAUAAAUGAGGUAGAUAUGUAAGUACUAAUAUAAAAAUGUUCAAAAUAAAUCUAAAAGAGCAAGUUACAUAAAAAUGUAUUGUUACAUUUGUGUAAAGGAAACUAAUACACGUGUGUGUGUGUGUCUAUUUGUAAGGAAACAAUAGAAAUAUCAAUAGUUUUAUGUCUGUGGGAUAAAUAACCAGAAAAAGGGAAUAUCUUAUUUUUUUACUUUAACCUUUAAUUUUUAAACCAUAAUCAUGUAUAGCUUUUAUAAUGGAAAAAAUGCAAAUCUGUUCCUUUACUGUCCAAGUUAUUUCAGUGGAUUCUUUUUGCCUGUAAAAGUUGAAAUCCUUAUCCAAGACCUACACUGUGGCUUCCCCAAACUCUCCAUCCUUGGCUUUACCUCUUUCUGUCCCUACUCUUUCUUACCUCUAAAUGGUGCCUGGAACAUAGAAGACACUCAAACAUUUGUUACUUGAAUAAAUAAAUUAAUUAACUGCUCCAAUGCACCUUAAGUUUAACAGAUCAAGGCCUUCUUUCUAAAUAUAACACUUUCAACUUUCUCAACCUAUCCCCUUCGCAUCUUAUAAGGCUAAGCUUAAACAUCACUUCUGCUAGGAAGACUGCCUGACAUUGCAAACUUUGUUAGGUCUGUCUGGUUCUAGGCUCCCAGGACACCUAUUUCUCCCACUUAACACUCAGAAUAGUAGUACUGAGGUUGAGUAUCCCUUUCUGAAAUGCUUAGGACCAGAAAGUAGUGUUUCAGAUUUUAGAUUUUUUUCAGAUUUUGGAAUAUUUGCACAUACAUAAUGAGAUAUCUUGGGACUCAAGGCUAAACAUGAAAUUCAUUUAUGUUUCAUAUACAUCUUAUACACAUAGCCUGAAGGUAUCUUUAUACAAUAUUUUAAAUAAUUUUGUGCAUAAAACGAAGUUUAUAUUAAGUACUUAUGUGUGGAAUUUUCCAUGGUGGUGUCAUGUCACUGCUCAUAAAGUUAUGGAUUUUGGAGCUUUUCAGGUGUCAGAUUUUCAGAUUAAGGAAGCUCAUCGUGUAAUCUUGUAUAGUCAUGAGUUACUUAAUGAUGGAAAUACAUUGUGAGAAAUGCAUCAGUAAGGCGAUUUAGUUGUGCGAACAUCAUAGAGUGUACUUAUAUAAACCUAGAUAGUAUAGCCUACUACACACCUAGACUAUAUGGUGUAGCCUAUGGGUCCUAGGCUACCAAUUUUUAUAGCAUGUGACUACUGAAUACUGUACGCAGUUGUAACACAAUGACAAGUAUUUGUUUCUCUAAACAUAAAUAAACAGAAAAGAUACUGCGAAAAUAUGAUAUAAAAGAUUAAAAAUGGUACCCUAUAUAGGGUACUUACUGUGGAUGGAGCCUGAAGGACUAGAAGUUGCUCUGGGUGAGUGAGUGGUGAGUGAAUAUGAAGGCCAGGACAUUACUAUACACUACUAUAGACUUUAUAAAUACUGUACACUUAGGCUACCCUAAAUUUAUAAAAAUAUUUUUCUUUCUCUAAAACAAAUUUAACUUUUGCUUACUUUAAGCUUUCUACUUUUUAAACUUUUCAAUUUUUUUAGCUUUUUGAUUCUUUUUUAAUAAAACUUAGCUUAAAACACACACAUUGUUCAGCUGUACAAAAAUAUUUUUUCUAUAAGCUUUGUUCUAUUUAUUUACUUUUUAAAUGUUUUUGUUAAAAACAAAUGCACAAACACACACAUUAGCCUAGGCCUAAACAGCGUCAGGAUCAAUGUCAACGUCACUGUCUUCUACCUCCACAUAUUGUCCCACUGGAAGGUCUUCAGAGGCAAUAACUCACAUGGAGCUGCCAUGUCCUACGAUAACAAUGCUUUCUUCUGGAAUACCUCCUGAAGGGGCUCCCUGAGACUGUUUUACAGUUAAACUUAAAAAAAUCAGUAGGACUACACACAAAAAUAACCAAAAAAGUAUAGUAUGGUAAAAUACAUAAACCAGUAACAUAGUAAUUUAUUAUCAAGUAUUAUGUACUGUACAUAGUUGUAUAUGUGAUACUUUCAUAUGACUGGCAGGGCAGUAGGUUUGUUUACACCAGCAUCAUCACAAAUACAUGAGUAAUAUGUUAUGCUAUGACUUUACAAAUGGCUACGAUAUCUCUAGGCAUAGGAAUUUUUCAGCUCCUUUAUAAUCUUAUAGGACUACCUUCAUUAAUGUGGUCUGUCGUUGACCCAAACAUUGUUAUGUUGUGCAUGACUAUAAUUACAACUGUGACCACCCCUGCCAGUCCGUCUAGCCUACUCCCUAUCUUCACUCCGUUAUUUCUCAAUGACCCCUAAAUCUCCAAUCUAUUUAUAUUACAUUAAUAUUUCUAUACCCACAAUCCCACCCCCCAUACACUCACUUCCUUUAUUAUUUAGCUUAUAUUCUGGAGUCCUUCAAUUGUAGCAAGUCUCUGGCCAUUACUAACUUACUUGCCCUUCAUACUGCACUUACCUGGCAAAAUGCUUUACCUUCCACAUGAUCUCUUUAUCUCAUUUACAUUUUGUUUUCUAAGAUAUUCUUUUUGCAGUGAGUCCUCCUUUCUCCUGAAUUAUCAGCUAUUUCUGCUGUAUAAGAUCAUUCUAUUGUCAUACAAAAUAUUCUCUGGUGUCUUUGUCAUUAAUAUAUCUAAUCUUGACAUAACUUGAGUAUAAGUAUCAUUCAUUAAUAUUACUUGAGGAUGCAUAUUAUACUUAUGUACUCAAUGUAAAGAUGAUUCAGAAUAAAUUCUAAAAUUACUAAGAUGAGAAAUAGCAUGGAGUUUAUUUUAAAUAUUCACGUAAUGUUUCUAAGAUGCUGAACUUUUGAGCUCUGCUCUUUUUAUACUUUAUUCAGGUUCAGCUACAUUUAAAAUAACAGAACUAUUCAUUUUAGCAAUUGACAUAACAAACUCUGACUACUAUUCAAAAUUUUAUGAUAUAUCAGAAUACUGGAGAGGGAAGUAAGCCUAUGCAAAAUAUACAGAAAAGUUUUUUUCUUUGUUAUUCUAGUAACCUCACAACUACUCAAUAAAUCCCUUUAUGAUUAUGUAGUACUUGUUCCUGAAGCCAUAAUAAAAGUACAAAAAAGAAAAGAGAACAGAGGUUUUAGUCAUAUCUACCUGGCAAAAUAUCAGCCAUAUCUACAUGGAGAGUCCGCAUAGUAUGAAAGUUUGCUUAUAGAAACAAGCUUUCAAAGGUGUAGUUCAUAGAAUACCACGCUUUCACCAACUAGAUAGUGGCUAAUAUGACAGGUCAAUCUAAAUAACAGAAUAAUAUGUCAACAUAGUUGGUGAAACAACAUUGUUUUGCUUGACCAAAUGCUAAACUAAAAGGUUCAGACAGAUUUAAGGAAAUCUGAGAUGGUAUCAUUGAACUCUAGAAACUUAGAAAAGUAGAAUGAAUUAUUGCUUGGGUCAAAUCAGCAAGUUGUAACUCAGCAAGUAUAACUCAACAAGAAUCUCUUGAGCCCCUGCUACAUGCAAGGCAUUGCCCUAAGCACGGGCUUUGGAUCUGUGGAAAGGAGUGAGGUAGGUAAUCUCUCUCAUCCUUGAUUUUGAAGACACCAGUUUACCCUCCAUUCUUUCAUGUUCUACAAGUCUCUGUGUAAAUGAAAUUUUAUCCAGGCCAGUUAAAAACUUACUUACCCCUGAGUUGUUAACGUAACAUUUAUAACUGGUCUCCCCACCACCAAUGUAUCUCCAGAGCAAACACCUCAUGGCAGGCUCUGAGUUUGUACUAAUUCAGUACAGCAUAAUCAGGAAACUAGUACACUCUUUUAUGCUAGGACAAGGUCCUUUUGAACUGCAUCUUUUGGUAUUAUCCCUUUUUUAGCCUGUGUCUUAGCUACAUGGAAUUGCUUGGAGUUUCCAGAAUAUCUCAAACUUUCCUACUUUAGUACUUCUGUACAUGGGUCCUGUGUCUGGAAUGACUUUUCCUGCCUACUUUAUCUCUUUCAUUUUUGCUUUAUUGUUUUGAAUUGUUGAUAUUGUUACUAUUUUUUAACUUAUUUUUUUCUAUUGGCAUGAUUGUACUUUUUUCUGGUUUUCUUUUAAUUCUGGGAAAUUUGGAAUGUUUUGGAAAAUAAAACAAAAAUCUCACCAUCCAAAUCUAUCUAUAACUG